rnacentral:rRNA from 1 species
GAUGAACGCGGGCGGCGUGCUAAUACAUGCAAGUAGAACGCUGAAGCUUGGUGCUUGCACCGAGCGGAUGAGUUGCGAACGGGUGAGUAACGCGUAGGUAACCUGCCUCUUAGCGGGGGAUAACUAUGGAAACGAUAGCUAAUACCGCAUAAAAGUCGAUAUCGCAUGAUGUUGAUUUGAAAGGUGCAAUUGCAUCACUAAGAGAUGGACCUGCGUUGUAUUAGCUAGUUGGUGAGGUAACGGCACACCAAGGCGACGAUACAUAGCCGACCUGAGAGGGUGAUCGGCCACACUGGGACUGAGACACGGCCCAGACUCCUACGGGAGGCAGCAGUAGGGAAUCUUCGGCAAUGGGGGCAACCCUGACCGAGCAACGCCGCGUGAGUGAAGAAGGUUUUCGGAUCGUAAAGCUCUGUUGUAAGAGAAGAACGAGUGUGAGAGUGGAAAGUUCACACUGUGACGGAACUACCAGAAAGGCGCAU